rnacentral:rRNA from 1 species
GUGUCAGCAGCCGCGGUAAUACGGAGGGUGCAAGCGUUAUCCGGAUUUACUGGGUUUAAAGGGUGUGUAGGCGGGCUUUUAAGUCUGGGGUGAAAUCCCGAAGCUCAACUUCGGAACUGCCUUGGAUACUAUUAGUCUUGAAUUAUGUUGAGGUUGGCGGAAUAUAACAUGUAGCGGUGAAAUGCAUAGAUAUGUUAUAGAACACCGAUUGCGAAGGCAGCUAACUAAGCAUAUAUUGACGCUGAGGCACGAAAGCGUGGGGAUCAAACAGGAUUAGAUACCCUUGUAGUCC